CGUUAAGGUUACAUAGUUACCAAAGCAAGUAACCAGUAAAUACAAGUGUAAAAAUUGGGUUGUUUACUUCCGGUGAUGAUUAUUUUCUUAUAUGCAAUGAAAUGUAGUGUGAAAUUUUCACUGUAUCACUGGAAAGGAUUAAACUUUACACAUGCAAAGUAUUUCUUUGGUUGAAAUAAAGUGUUAACCAUGUUCUGAAGAGCAUUCUGUUGAAAAAUCUUAUAUGUGAAUUGGUCUGCAGAUGACACUUCAGCAUUAAAACAAAAGAUAUCAAGUUUUCAUGAAAAAGGAAGGAAGGAGGAAAAAUGGACCAAAACAGACCAAAACAGACCUUCAAAUGAACUCUAAAAGGUGGAAUAAAAUUGUUUAUCAUCUUAAAGUUGUCUUUUGUAUUCUAUUUAAUUGUUUGAAUGCAUAGAUCAUGAGUUUAUGAUCAGAUAGUAGUCAACACUGCAUUUUAUAAUGAUACACUGAAAUGAGGAUUUUUCGAAGAAAUUAGACUGAAAUUGCCGUAGGAUAUGGCCUUACAUUAUAGUGAUUUUCUCUGAAACUAUAGCUCUGACUGAGACAAAACUUGACAGUUAUGCUUGAAAUAACUUGCAAUUGGAGGGAAAAAAAUUACAUUAAGUUUAUUUGAUAUUUAGGUGUUCUUUAGGUGUAAUACCACCAAAUCAUGGAA